rnacentral:rRNA from 1 species
AGAGUUUGAUCCUGGCUCAGAUCCGAACGCUGGCGGCAUGCCUAACACAUGCAAGUCGAACGCCUGGUAGCUUGCUACCAGGCGUCAAGUGGCGGACGGGUGAGUAACGCGUAGGAAUCUGCCCAGUAGUGGGGGACAACCAGGGGAAACCCUGGCUAAUACCGCAUACACUCUACGGAGAAAAGGAGGCCCCUCUUCUUGAAAGCUUUCGCUAUUGGAUGAGCCUGCGUGAGAUUAGCUAGUUGGUAGGGUAAAGGCCUACCAAGGCGACGAUCUCUAGCUGGUCUGAGAGGACGAUCAGCCACACUGGGACUCAGACACGGCCCAGACUCCUACGGGAGGCAGCAGUGGGGAAUAUUGGACAAUGGGCGCAAGCCUGAUCCAGCAAUACCGCGUGUGUGAAGAAGGCCCUAGGGUUGUAAAGCACUUUCAGUAGGGAGGAAAAGUGUACAGUUAAUACCUGUAUGCCGUGACCAUUACCCACAGAAGAAGCACCGGCAAACUCUGUGCCAGCAGCCGCGGUAAUACAGAGGGUGCAAGCGUUAAUCGGAUUUACUGGGCGUAAAGGGCGUGUAGGCGGAUAUUUUAGUCGGAUGUGAAAGCCCCGGGCUUAACCUGGGAAUUGCAGUCGAUACUGGGUGUCUUGAGUAUGGUAGAGGAAAGUGGAAUUCUCGGUGUAGUGGUAAAAUACGUAGAUAUCGAGAAGAACACCAGUGGCGAAGGCGGCUUUCUGGCCCAAUACUGACGCUGAGGCGCGAAAGCGUGGGGAGCAAACAGGAUUAGAUACCCUGGUAGUCCACGCUGUAAACGAUGAGAACUAGAUGUUGGCCAGUUUUGCGAGGCAGUGUCGCAGCUAACGCAUUAAGUUCUCCGCCUGGGGAGUACGGUCGCAAGAUUAAAACUCAAAGGAAUUGACGGGGGCCCGCACAAGCGGUGGAACAUGUGGUUUAAUUCGAUGCAACGCGAAAAACCUUACCUACCCUUGAAAUCCCAAGAAUUCUCUAGAGAUAGAGAAGUGCCUUCGGGAACUUGGUGACAGGUGCUGCAUGGCUGUCGUCAGCUCGUGUCGUGAGAUGUUGGGUUAAGUCCCGUAACGAGCGCAACCCUUAUCUUUAGUUGCCAACAGUUCGGCUGGGAACUCUAAAGAAACUGCCGGCGUUAAGCCGGAGGAAGGCGAGGACGACGUCAAGUCAUCAUGGCCCUUAUGGGUAGGGCAACACACGUACUACAAUGGGAAGCACAGAGGGUUGCCAAGCCGCAAGGUGGAGCCAAUCCCAGAAAACUUCUCGUAGUCCAGAUUGAAGUCUGCAACUCGACUUCAUGAAGUUGGAAUCGCUAGUAAUCGCGAAUCAGAAUGUCGCGGUGAAUACGUUCUCGGGCCUUGUACACACCGCCCGUCAAACCAUGGGAGUGGAUUGUACCAGAAGCGGGUAGCUUAACCGUAAGGAGAGCGCCCACCACGGUAUGCUUCAUGACUGGGGUUAAGUCGUAACAAGGUAACC